GAUGAACGCUGGCGGCGUGCCUAAUACAUGCAAGUCGAGCGAACAGACGAGGAGCUUGCUCCUCUGACGUUAGCGGCGGACGGGUGAGUAACACGUGGAUAACCUACCUAUAAGACUGGGAUAACUUCGGGAAACCGGAGCUAAUACCGGAUAAUAUAUUGAACCGCAUGGUUCAAUAGUGAAAGACGGUUUUGCUGUCACUUAUAGAUGGAUCCGCGCCGCAUUAGCUAGUUGGUAAGGUAACGGCUUACCAAGGCAACGAUGCGUAGCCGACCUGAGAGGGUGAUCGGCCACACUGGAACUGAGACACGGUCCAGACUCCUACGGGAGGCAGCAGUAGGGAAUCUUCCGCAAUGGGCGAAAGCCUGACGGAGCAACGCCGCGUGAGUGAUGAAGGUCUUCGGAUCGUAAAACUCUGUUAUUAGGGAAGGACAAAUGUGUAAGUAACUAUGCACGUCUUGACGGUACCUAAUCAGAAAGCCACGGCUAACUACGUG
rnacentral:rRNA from 1 species